AACGAACGCUGGCGGCAUGCCUAACACAUGCAAGUCGAACGAGACCUUCGUGUCUAGUUGCGCACGGGUGCGUAACGCGUGGGAACCUUCCGUUAGGUUCGGAAUAACUCCCUGAAAGGGGUGCUAAUACCGGAUAAUGUCUGCGGACCAAAGAUUUAACGCCUGUGGAUGGGCCCGGGUUGGUUUAGCCAGUUGCUAGGGUAAAAGCCUACGACGGCGACGAUCCCUAGCUGGUCUGAGAGGAUCAUCAGCCACACUGGGACUGUGACACGGUCCAGACUCCUACGCGAGGCAGCAGUGGGGGAUACUGGACAAUGGGGGAAAGCCUGAUCCAGCUCUGCCGCGAGAGUCAUUAUGGUCUUAGGGAUGUCAAGCAGUUUUAUACGGGAUGAUUAUGACAGUACCGGGAGAAUAAGCUCCGGCUAACUCCGUG
rnacentral:rRNA from 1 species